AUACGAAAGAAAUUCAUUUCCUGGUAGCGUAUGACCAUCUUGGUUCUUUGGAUAUAUUUAUUAAUCUACGUCAAGUGUAAUAAUCCUGUGCAGAGGGCGCCAUAGUGUUCGAUCGAUCAGCAAAUCAAGGGACUGGGCGGGGUAUAAUACCGCCGUUCGGCGGACGGCGAUGAAUCUGUUCAUUCAUGUUCAUCUCAUUCCUUCGGUGCUUGUCGAACUAGUAAUACGCCAGCGAGUGUGGUACAACAAAUAUUCGUUCGUGCAUACUUCAUACGUCCCAGGGAUCAGUUAUAUAAGUAAUUCAGGCGGUUGAAGCAAUUUCUUCAUUCUUACUAGUCAUUUGUUUAAGCUAUCAAUAUAAGAGAUAUAUUAAACCAACCGAAGACGAAAGCAGUUCCAAUAGUCUCAAUGUAUUGCAAAGGAGCCGAAUUCACUUAUAUUUGAAUUGCAAUUCCAAAGUAGAUACGAAAAGUUCAACUACGCUCCACCAUUGCACAUCCAAAGUGAAACACAUUUGCAUUGACACUUUCUGUUCUUCCGUACAUCCGACGAUACGCUCUAUAUGGAUAAUUCAAAUCAAGCCAGACCAUCAACGAGAUUAAUUUACGAAAACAUUUUCCUUUUUACAUUUAUGUUUAAAUGUAAAAUCAAUCAAUGCUGUAUUUAUUGAAUGAUUAUAUGCAGCCGAAGAAAGUAUUUUUAUUUAUAAGUGAACUUAUCACCAAUAUUCCAAAUGGUAGGAAACUCAAAGUGGAGUACUUAUCCGGUAACUUCUAUAAUAUAGCAAUGAAAUUUUCUAAUAAAUCUUAUACAAAUGGCUACUGCUGAAUUUAAAGUAUAUUGAUACAAUAAUAGAAUGACUAGUGAUAAUGGUGUUUCAAUGGUUUUUAUUACUUAUAAAGCUCGUCUUUCGGACGUAUGAGAGCUAGGGAUUAUUUCGCGUAUAACAUAUACUUGCGUAUUACUGGGUCGAAAAUCACGGAAGGAAUGACUUCCCCUGGUUAAAUUAAUCCCACGUCAUCUCGUUAGAAGACCAAGAUUCCUAGAUUUUAAUUUUCUAGUUUGGGGAUGAAAAAUUUCCCCUCUCCUGUAACUAUGUUGUUAUAUUUUUAUUUCCUUUAUGCACUUGAAAAAUUAUGUCAUAAAACUUGGAAUCUUCUUACGAAAUUGACAGUUAUUUUUCUCUUUUUUAAUUGCAAUAUGCACAUAAAACUGUAAUUAUUUAUAAUAUAAUUAAUUAUUAUUAACGAUUUCUGUAUUAAUAAUUUCAAAUUAUUUUAAUAAUAAUAUCAAAAAUAAUAAUUAUUGUAAUUAUCAACAUUAAUUUUUAGAAAGUAAUCGUAAUAUCAUAUACGAAAUAUGUAAUGUAUCAUCUUUCGUAAGUUCAAGUUGUACUCAAAAAUAGUGUUCUAAUAUUAUUUGGUAUUACUGAUAUUACAAUUUUCGAACUAUGUACUUCGUAUUGUAAAAUAUUGUGUUGUAAAACAAUUUUUUCGUAGGAAGUUACAUCUACUUCCAUUUUCCUUAAAAACAUUUCCUUCAAAUAUCGCCUUCUUAUCUUGUAAACAUAUAUAUGUUGCUUAAGUUAUCCUAGAAUUCAUUUCCAUUAUUGCACGAUAAUAGAAAAAAUGUAUUCGGAGAAAAUCUCUUCUCAUAUUUCUUUAUUUCCCCAUCUCACUAUCGUCUGUUUCACGUAUUUCCUCUUCGAGAGAACCACACAGUUAGUGAGUGAUUUGGGCGGAUCGAGUGUUUGCACUGCUACUGUUUGGGAAAUCCGUGUUUCACUGAUGUUUCCUAUUGAAAUUGUGCUGUUAGCUCGGGAAAACAUAAAUUUUGCGUUAAAUAUUCGGGGUACGUUCAUCUCACCGUGUGUAUAUAUAUAAUAUUUAUGAAAAACGCUAAUAAAAUAUUACGAAUAUUUUUUAACUACAUGUCGUGAAUAUGAUGACAAACAAUUUGAAAUAUGGGAUUCAACAUUUCUCCUUUUUUAAUUGUAGCGAACUGUUACUUAAUUUAAAUCGAUGGAAUAACGAUGAUGCGAACGUGGACUUUUUAUUUCACGUAUAAUUUAAAAGUAUACUCCUGCUAUCGU